UCUGCUAUAAAUAAAUAAAUAAAUAUGGCUAUAGCACCACGGUAUAGAAGAUAAUCUUCUUCGUUAUCUUCAAUACCGUGAAUUUUAUUAGAAAAUAAUAUUAUUUUUGUACAUACAGACUACGAAUAACGCUGUUUUACACGAUUGUAAUAUUUAUUACUAGGGUUCGUAUCAUUCGUAUUGUGUUCGAUGUUGUCUGCUUGACGUUCCUACAGAUUGUUAAUAAUUGUAUUGCAUCAACCGUAUGGCGUAUACUCUUGUUCUUCUUUAACUCUAGUAAAAUUAUCAAAAAUAUUUUUAAGUAUUAAGAGUCAUUGAGGAUAAUUUUUUUUACAAGAAGCUGGAUGUGAAGUGCUUAAGUUGUGUCGAUACAAAGUGUUACAAGGUAGAUUCACGUUCAAACUCUAAUAUAAGAAAACAUUUAAGCACACAACAUUCAACUAUAUUAAAGAAAAUUGAUCACAAUGAUAAUGCAGAGAACAAAAAUUCUUUAAAAAGACGCAAUGAUCUAUCAUUGAAGCAUAAUGCUGGUAGUUCUUUAGAACAACCAGUUUUAGAAGAUUUUUUGAUGAACAAAAAAUUAAAUAGUCAAAUUUUUAGUUGCAGCAUUAACAAAAGUAGUUGAUAUUUAUAUGACUGCAUGACUAUAUACUGAUACAUUGCUAGUGAACGAUACUGUUGUUAAUGAUUUAGAAGAAAUUGACGCAUUCAACUUGAACUUUCUAAUUGAUGAAGACCAUGAUUUGCCAUAUGCAUUACCAAAACAUCAUCGAUGUUGUGCA